rnacentral:lncRNA from 1 species
GGUUUCAUUUUCCAUUUACCAACUUGCAAAAUUAGUAAACUUGGAAAACAUCCCCAUGGUUAAUUGAGAAACAAGAACUCCAAACUACCCAGAGAUAACAACACUCGGUUUAGGGCAGUAUUUGCUCAGAUUGGUGUUUUUUUGUUGUUGUUUUUGUGUUUUUGAGACAGGGUCUCUCACUCUGUCGCCCAGGCUGGAGUGCAGAGGCACGAUCUCAUCUCAUUGCAACCUCCGCCUGCCAGGCUAAAGCGAUCCUCUCACCUCAGCCUCCCACGUAGCUGAGGCGGGAGAAUCCCUUGAACCCAGGAGGCAGAGAUUGUGGUGAGCCAAGAUUGCACCAAUGCACUCCAGCCUGGGCAGCAGAGCAAGACAGUCUCAAAAAAUAAUAUAAAAUAAACAUAAAGGCAGUAACAAGCACUGGGGAAUACAUAGAGGAACUGGAAUCCUGGUACAUGCAUUGCUGUUGAGAAU